rnacentral:rRNA from 1 species
UACGAAAGGGGCUAGCGUUGCUCGGAAUCACUGGGCGUAAAGCGCACGUAGGCGGAUUGCUAAGUCAGGGGUGAAAUCCUGGAGCUCAACUCCAGAACUGCCUUUGAUACUGGCGACCUUGAGUCCGGGAGAGGUGAGUGGAACUGCGAGUGUAGAGGUGAAAUUCGUAGAUAUUCGCAAGAACACCAGUGGCGAAGGCGGCUCACUGGCCCGGUACUGACGCUGAGGUGCGAAAGCGUGGGGAGCAAACAGG